CUUUCAAGGAUAUGGGUCUGUGACUGAAAUGUGCGCCAAACGGUUGGAAUCCGUUUUCCAGUCUCUAAUCUUCUCAUCUCAUCAUUAAAACCCAACGAUGACCAGAGAAGCAUCUGAAAGAGCAUUAUGGCGCAUCAGGGAGCUCAGCACAGUGGUCAUCUAUCACCAGUCAGGCAUCCUGUGGCUUUCUGUGUGCGGUGCUCUGACCACAGGCAGGCCUACUGUGUGCCAGGUACCUUUCUGGAGGUACAGCCAACUUUGGUCCCCAUGGAAUCAACAAAACCUAGAAACACAUACCACCGAUAACGUAACAAUUGUUUUAAAUAAAGAAGCGGCUUUUAGUAGCACAACAUGCUUGAGGUGUGAGAAGGUGGAGUGAGCCACGCAUCUGUUGUCGUUCUGCUGACGAAGUCCAGUUGAGACGCAAAACCCAGGGAUGCCUUUCUGCUCAUCACUGAUGC